GACGAACGCUGGCGGCGCGCCUCAUACAUGCAAGUCGAACGAAAACUCGGAGCUUGCUCCGGGUGGACAGUGGCGAACGGGUGAGUAACACGUGAGAAACCUGCCCCGAAGACCGGGACAACACCGGGAAACCGGUGCUAAUACCGGAUGUCCUUACCGGACCGCAUGAUCUGGUAAGGAAAUGGAUUCCGCUUCGGGAUGGUCUCGCGGCCUAUCAGCUUGUUGGCGGGGUAAUGGCCCACCAAGGCUACGACGGGUAGCUGGUCUGAGAGGAUGUCCAGCCACACUGGGACUGAGACAC
rnacentral:rRNA from 1 species